GCGGGAAUAGCACAGUGGUAGUGCGCCACCUUGCCAAGGUGGAUGUCGUGGGUUCGAUCCCCAUUUCCCGCUCUA
rnacentral:tRNA from 1 species